GACAGAGGGUGCAACCGUUGCUCGGAAUUACUGGGCGUAAAGCGCGUGUAGGCGGACCGGAAAGUCGGGCGUGAAAUCCCUGGGCUCAACCCAGGAACUGCACUCGAAACUUCCGGCCUUGAGUGGUGGAGAGGGUAGUGGAAUUCCUGGUGUAGAGGUGAAAUUCGUAGAUAUCAGGAGGAACACCGGUGGCGAAGGCGGCUACCUGGACAAUAACUGACGCUGAGACGCGAAAGCGUGGGGAGCAAACAGG
rnacentral:rRNA from 1 species